UCUCAACCACUGCACCACCAGGGAAGCCCUUAUCUUUAAUUUUUAUUCCUCUGUAUGGUAUGUGUCUUUAUUCACUGGCUGCCUUCAUAAUUUCCUUUGUCUCUGGUUUUCAGCAGCUUGUAUAUAAUAUGCCUAUGGUGUGGGAGUACUUUUGGUAGGGGAGCACUUAUCCUGCUUGAUGUUCUUUGAAUGUCUUGAAACUGUUGUUUGGUAUCCGUCAUUCAUUUUGGAAUAUUCUCAUGUAUUAUUUCUCCUUAUUUUUUCUUCCUGGGAUGCCAAUUACACACAGGUUAGACCUUUUGUUAUUAUACCAUAUCUCUUGGAUGUUCUGUUGUGUUUUUCCACCCACUCUCUAUCCUUCCCCACUGUUCUGCAAUCCAUGCCAGAAUUGUUAUAAAUCCAGUUUCCACAGAUGUGAGGGUCUGACUGAAGAAACUUCAUUGCUGUUCUCCUCUUAUUCUCCAAAUCCUUGUGGGUUUAUCCCUUUAAAAGAUUGUUUUCUGCCAUUUUAGCGGUCUUGGGAUGGAGUGAAAGUAGACGCACAUAGUCAAUCUACCAUCUUUACCUGGAAGUCAAGCGUGAAUUUCAUUAUUUAAAUUAAGAUGAAGAUAAACUGAGGCACAGAAGAUUAAGUAAUUUUUCCAAAGAUUCAGAAAUAGAAAAUGACAGAACUUGGCUCCUUAACCACCAUAUGUAUUCUGACUACCUCCAACAAAUUGGAAGAUGGUGACUUUUAGGGAACAAAGUUUGUCAUCCUGAUGCACCAGGUCUUUAAUGAUGUCAAUAAAGAAACAGCCCACCCUUUGGUUAAAAGACUCUGAGCCUUCAAGGACCACUGGUUAUCCAGAGGAAGCCAUGGUUAUUCUGGUGAAGCACGAGGCCACGGUCGUUUUGAUCAGUCACUCAAUGGAGGGUCCAAAGCUUAAGCAGAAUAAACUCAGGACAGACAACACUGGAACUCUGGGAGUGUAACCUCACCAGCAGAUGAGGUAGUGAUGGAUGACUCCUGACUGUGGAGUCCUUUUCAUCUCUCAAUUUAUAUUCUGAG